CCUGACCCCAUGCCGAACUCAGAAGUGAAACGCCGUAGCGCCGAUGGUAGUGUGGGGUUUCCCCAUGCGAGAGUAGGGAACUGCCAGGC
rnacentral:rRNA from 2 species